rnacentral:rRNA from 1 species
AACGCGAAGAACCUUACCUGGGCUCGAAAUGCAGUGGACCGGGGUGGAAACAUCCCUUCCCCUUAAAAGGCUGCUGCAUAGGUGCUGCAUGGCUGUCGUCAGCUCGUGUCGUGAGAUGUUGGGUUAAGUCCCGCAACGAGCGCAACCCUUAUCCCUAGUUGCCAUCGGGUCAAGCCGGGCACUCUAGUGAAACCGCCCCGGAUAACGGGGAGGAAGGUGGGGAUGACGUCAAGUCCUCAUGGCCUUUAUGUCCAGGGCUACACACGUGCUACAAUGGUCGGUACAAACCGUCGCAAACCCGCGAGGGGGAGCUAAUCGGAAAAAGCCGGCCUCAGUUCGGAUUGGAGUCUGCAACUCGACUCCAUGAAGCUGGAAUCGCUAGUAAUCGCGGAUCAGAACGCCGCGGUGAAUACGUUCCCGGGCCUUGUA